rnacentral:rRNA from 1 species
GUCUACGGCCAUACCACCCUGAACGCGCCCGAUCUCGUCUGAUCUCGGAAGCUAAGCAGGGUCGGGCCUGGUUAGUACUUGGAUGGGAGAUAAUAUUUAAUUUCAAAGUACAAUUCC